GACGAACGCUGGCGGCGUGCUUAACACAUGCAAGUCGAACGCUGAACCCGCUUCGGUGGGGGUUGAAUGGCGAACGGGUGAGUAACGCUUGGGCAACCUGCCCCCGCCUCUGGGAUAACUCCAACAAAUUGGGGCUAAUACCGGUUGUGACCGCUGGCCGCAUGGUCUGGUUGUGGUAAGGGUUUCCGGCUUUGGUUGGGCCCGCGGCCUAUCAGCUUGUUGGUGGGGUAGUUGCCGACGAAGUGGCCGACGGGUAGCCGGCCUGAGAGCGUAACCGGCCACAAUGGGACUGAGACACGGCGCAGAAGCCUACGGGAGGCAGCAGUGGGGAAUAUGGCGCAAUGGGCGGAAGCCUGAGGCAGCGACGUCGCGUGCGGGAUGACGGCUUUCGGGUGGUAAACCUAUUUCAGCAGGGACGAAGCGCAAGUGACGGUACCUGCAGAGGAAGCACCGGCUAACUACGUG
rnacentral:rRNA from 1 species